rnacentral:rRNA from 1 species
GUAGGGUGCGAGCGUUAAUCGGAAUUACUGGGCGUAAAGCGUGCGCAGGCGGUUAUAUAAGACAGAUGUGAAAUCCCCGGGCUCAACCUGGGACCUGCAUUUGUGACUGUAUAGCUAGUGUACGGUAGAGGGGGAUGGAAUUCCGCGUGUAGCAGUGAAAUGCGUAGAUAUGCGGAGGAACACCGAUGGCGAAGGCAAUCCCCUGGACCUGUACUGACGCUCAUGCACGAAAGCGUGGGGAGCAAACAGGAUUAGAUACCCUGGUAGUCCACGCCCUAAACGAUGUCAACUGGUUGUUGGGUCAUCACUGACUCAGUAACGAAGCUAACGCGUGAAGUUGACCGCCUGGGGAGUACGGCCGCAAGGUUA